UGCUUCCGGAGGAUUUCUACCCGGAGAAGACAGACCCUGAGCAGAUCCUGUGGGUGUCCUGGGCAGUCCUGCUGGUCGGCGUGCUCAUCAUAGGCAUGGCCAUGGGAUGGGCCCUUGAGAGAAGAUUUCAGAGAUGCUGGAAAGAGCGGAAUCUCCGGAGCCCUUCAGGCCGUGCAGAGCCCCGCCGCCAUCGAAGACACGGCUGUCCAAAGAAGUUGAUGCAGCUGCUGAGGCACAACCGUGACUUGAUGCGGUUGUGCCUUCGCUCUCAGCCGAGACCAACAACCAAGACGGCGGCAAAAGAGGGCAUUGGCAGGAGACUCCGCACCUCCCCGCAGCUCUGACCUCCAGUGCGGCACUCUGUCUUCAGAACAUUACGGGGAAUGUGUGACCAGUGCCCAGCCCAGGCACUGCGACGUUCCCCAUCUUAGAAGUUAGCCACACCCCUGUUGUUAGUUGUAGGAUUCCCCACCACGUUUCCCCCAAGAAGUUGACCUUUCCCUUAGUGUUCAAUUCUAAACAGUUGAAGUAUUGAAGUAUUUUAGGCUUAAGAUUCUUACCCCAUAGUCUUCAAGUAACGUUGUAGUGUAGAUUUUAGAAGUAGUCAAGUGAAUAAAGUUCACGUUUUCUACA